rnacentral:misc_RNA from 1 species
UGGUUACUGAACAUGACUUGGUGAGUCGUUCCACCGAAUUUGAAGCCUCUAUACAAAAUGGGGAGAAAACGUUGCUGCGAGCGUUGUGUGAUAAAAAGUCGGAGGUUUCUACAUCUGAAUAUGACAGAGAGACCUGGGCCUUUUUGAAGGUUAUGUUCGAAGAAGAAGGAACAGCUAGGACAAAAUUACUUGCCCAUUUAGGUUUUAAUGCACCUAGUGAUGCAAGUGACAACGGUCAUGAUGAACUUGGCAAGAAAUUAACGAA